rnacentral:rRNA from 1 species
AGAGUUUGAUCCUGGCUCAGAGCGAACGCUGGCGGCAUGCUUAACACAUGCAAGUCGCACGGGCACUUCGGUGUCAGUGGCGGACGGGUGAGUAACGCGUAGGUAUCUAUCCUUGGGUGGGGGACAACUGUGGGAAACUACAGCUAAUACCGCAUGAUGACUGAGGUCCAAAGGCGCAAGUCGCCUGGGGAGGAGCCUGCGUACGAUUAGCUAGUUGGUGGGGUAAAGGCCUACCAAGGCGACGAUCGUUAGCUGGUCUGAGAGGAUGAUCAGCCACAUUGGGACUGAGACACGGCCCAAACUCCUACGGGAGGCAGCAGUGGGGAAUAUUGGACAAUGGGCGAAAGCCUGAUCCAGCAAUGCCGCGUGUGUGAAGAAGGUCUUCGGAUUGUAAAGCACUUCGACGG